GACGAACGCUGGCGGCGUGCUUAACACAUGCGAGUCGAACGGAAAGGCCCUGCUUUUGUGGGGUGCUCGAGUGGCGAACGGGUGAGUAACACGUGAGUAACCUGCCCUUGACUUUGGGAUAACUUCAGGAAACUGGGGCUAAUACCGGAUAGGAGCUCCUGCUGCAUGGUGGGGGUUGGAAAGUUUCGGCGGUUGGGGAUGGACUCGCGGCUUAUCAGCUUGUUGGUGGGGUAGUGGCUUACCAAGGCUUUGACGGGUAGCCGGCCUGAGAGGGUGACCGGCCACAUUGGGACUGAGAUACGGCCCAGACUCCUACGGGAGGCAGCAGGGGGGAAUAUUGCACAAUGGGCGGAAGCCUGAUGCAGCAACGCCGCGUGCGGGAUGACGGCCUUCGGGUUGUAAACCGCUUUCGCCUGUGACGAAGCGUGAGUGACGGUAAUGGGUAAAGAAGCACCGGCUAACUACG
rnacentral:rRNA from 1 species